rnacentral:rRNA from 1 species
UACGUAGGGGGCAAGCGUUGUCCGGAUUUAUUGGGCGUAAAGAGCGUGUAGGCGGCCAUGUAGGUCCGUUGUGAAAACUCGAGGCUCAACCUCGAGACGCCGAUGGAAACCAUGUGGCUAGAGUCCGGAAGAGGAGAGUGGAAUUCCUGGUGUAGCGGUGAAAUGCGCAGAUAUCAGGAAGAACACCCGUGGCUAAGGCGGCUCUCUGGGCUGGAACUGACGCUGAGGAGCGAAAGCGUGGGUAGCAAACAGG